CAACAAUACCUCUUUGUAAGAAAAUAAACCCAAGAAGUGUUUGGGCAUACAAGCGACAUAGAAACUUUUGGAAAAAGGAUGUUCAGUCAAUGAACGACCGCGUUUUUAAGGAAACCUUUCGCAUGAGCAGGGCAACCUUUGAAAUAUUGUGUGAAUAUGUCAAAGGUAUUAUCAAACAGGAUUCAUGCAAUAGGAAGUGCAUUAUCAAACAGGAUUCAUGCAAUAGGAAGUGCAUCCCAUUGCAGAAAAGGGUAGCUGCUGACGUCUACACAUUAAAAUCUUCGGCAGAGUAUGAAACUAUUGCACGACUUCUUGCCCAUUGCAGAAAAGGGUAGCUGCUGACGUCUACACAUUAAAAUCUUCGGCAGAGUAUGAAACUGUUGCACGACUUCUUGCCAAGAAGUGUGGCAAUCAUUGCGUCCCAUUUAUUUGACAGAACAAUUGAGGAACAGUGGAAAAGUGGAUGAGUGUGUUCAUGGGUUGGAGAAGCUUGGAGAAGCUUGGCUUUCCGCAAUGUCUUGGUGCCAUAGACGUUUGCCACAUUAAAGUUCGACCACCUGGGAAGGAUUGCACGGACUACUACAAUUAUAAGGGGUGGUACUCCACAGUUUUAUUUGCCCUUGUAGAUUAUAGAUAUCGCUUCCUCUACAUUAAUGUUGGCUGCCCAGUAAGGUGGGUCGAUUCCGGAUCGGAUUGCAUCCUCAACCCCAACUCCGGCCUUGGAAUUUCGGAAAUUCGCCCAAAAUCGUGAAAUUGUCUACGCCUAAAAUACGCAUCUUAUGGCAAAAUGUACAAAACAAAAGUUAUUUGUCACGUCAUUUGCUACGGAAAUGGUAUAUGUGAUCAUGGUCGUACGACGAACCGUUCCCAAGAUACGAGCGAAAAUGCGGCGCGCCACAGCGCAAGGUGAAAAUCGGC